rnacentral:rRNA from 1 species
GAUGAACGCUGGCGGCGUGCCUAAUACAUGCAAGUCGAGCGAACAGACGAGGAGCUUGCUCCUCUGACGUUAGCGGCGGACGGGUGAGUAACACGUGGAUAACCUACCUAUAAGACUGGGAUAACUUCGGGAAACCGGAGCUAAUACCGGAUAAUAUAUUGAACCGCAUGGUUCAAUAGUGAAAGACGGUUUUGCUGUCACUUAUAGAUGGAUCCGCGCCGCAUUAGCUAGUUGGUAAGGUAACGGCUUACAAAGGCAACGAUGCGUAGCGGCACUGGGAGGGUGAUCGGCCACACUGGAACUGAGACGCGGUGCAGACUCCUGCGGGAGGGAGCAGUAGGGCAUCUGCCGCAAUGGGCGAUAGCCUGACGGAGCAACGCCGCGUGAGUGAUGAAGGUCUUCGGAUCGUACAACUCUGUUAUUAGGAAAGAACAAAUGUUUAAGUAACUAUGCGCGUCUUGACGGUACCUAAUCAGAAAGCCACGGCUAACUACGUGCCAGCAGCCGCGGUAA